GUGCCAGCCGCUGCGGUAAUACAUAGGUGGCAAGCGUUAUCCGGAUUUAUUGGGCGUAUAGGGUGCGUAGGCGGUUUGCAAGUUUGUGGUCAAAUCCCGAGGCUCAACCUCGGUUCGCCAUGAAAACUGCAGGGGUUACUAGAAUACAAGAGAGGUAAACGAAUUCCAUGUGUAGCGGUGAAUGCGUAGAUAUAUGGAAGAACACCUGUGGCGAAAGCGGUUUACUGGCUUGUUAUUGACGCUGAGGCACGAAAGCGUGGGGAGCAAAUAGGAUUAGAUACCCUAGUAGUCCAGCCGUAAACGUUGAGUACUAAGUGUUUGGGAAUUUAUCGUCGGUGCUGCAGCUAACG
rnacentral:rRNA from 1 species